AUACUUCAUUUACUCCCAUGUGGCUUGUGCCUGAUUCCAACUAGAUUUAGUCAUCUCUACAUACGUUUUGAAAUCUUUGGAUUCUAACUUUUUCUAGUUUCACUAAGGAUAUAUUUGGUUCUUUUUUUCUCUGAAGUCACAGGGCGGGAGAGUAAAGGAGUAGAAUUUUCAACCUAAGUUUAUAUGAUUCUAAAAUUUUCCACUACCAUGCUGCUAAAAGAGAUUACUCAACUAGUUCUUCCUGUUCAGGUAAGUCAGUUCAGACUUUGCUAAUUCUGAAUAAAGAGGACAGAAGUUAUGAUGCUGUAACUAUUUGACAUAGACUGUGUUAGAUUAGAGAUGAGAGGCAAAAACUUGACCCUAGUAUAUUUGCUUUCAUUGAUUCCAAUGUCAUCUUUAGGUUUUUGUAUAUUUCUUUCUGAUUUUAACAUAUGAUCCUUUAUUUUCUUCUUACUUUCCUCCCUUCAUCCUUUCUCUGUCAAAUUGUUUUCCUCUUCCUCCUCUUUUAAAAAUUCUCAAAAUUUGACUAUAAAUUGCUUUUUCUUCUUUGCUCCUUUUCACAACUCUUUCAUUGCCACAAGGCAUUCAGGUAGAAAAAAAGGCCAAGGUAGUCUGCAGUGUGCUAGCUAUUUACCCAAUUGACCCACCAUAUCUUUUAUAUAAACAAAUAAAUUAACAAGUUAUGUAAAUAAUUUAUAUUCAAAUAUUCAGAAGUGUCUUAGACAUGUUUAAUAUGCUACAGGUAAACUCCUUUUAGGAGGAGACCACAUGCAGCUUUAGAAUAGAAAAUAGAAGAAAGGAAAAAAAUAAACAAAUGAAGGUUUUUCUCUGCAGUCUUUAUGCAAGCAACGACUUAUUUCUUAAACUCUCCCCUUUGUGGCUAUCACUCAAAGAAAAUAAAGAAGAAAAGCUACUGGCUUUCUAGUUUAAAUCACAGUCUCAUUAUUCUGUAGGUGAAUGGGGAGGGGGAUUGGAAUCGUAGGUCCGAGUGGGCAGUAACUUGAAGUCAAUGGAGAUAUAUACAAAACAGAAGCACAAUCACGAUCCAGCAGUUCUGGAGCUGCUAACUUUUUCUGCCUUUUUCUAAAUGUCCAAUAAUAAGGUUCUAACGGAGACUGAAGAUCCAUCACCUGCUCCACAUCUCCAGGGGGCCCAUGUGUGCAUCGCAGUGCAGGUCAUACAUGCUUCUUUCCCCUCCCAUGGCAAGGGGAAUACCGAAUGAUGACAACUCACAUGUGUAACCCAAGGGCUUUGCUACAGUUUACUGAGGACUAGUGCACGAUACAUUCUUUGAGUGUUAUAAUAACAUUAAGUCAAUGCACGAAUUAUAAUCCCUAUUUCACAAGUACAAAAACACAUUCAAAGAAAUUAAAUUCCUUGCUCACCAAACAGUUAUUGACAAAAAAUACAACAUUUAUGUUUCUUUUGAAAAAUAUUAUAAAGAUUCUCAAAUUGUCUAACCAAUCAUAUUAUCCGUAGUUGUCUCUUCUCAAGCUGCUAAUAAAGACAUACCCAAGACUGGGACAUUUAUAAAGGAAAAAGGUUUAAUUGACUCACAGUUCGGCAUGGCUGUGGAGGCCUCAGGAAACUUACAAUCAUGGCAGAAGGGGAAGCAAAUAUGUCCUUCACAUGGCGGCAGCAAAGAGAGGUGGGAAAAAGGAGGGAAAAGCCCCUUAUAAAACCAUCAGAUCUCAUGAAAACUCACUUACUAUCAGGAGAACAGCGUGGAGGUAACUGUUCCCAUGA
rnacentral:lncRNA from 1 species